GAUUCUGGUAGCCAGCAGAGCAGUUUGCUGGCCCUGCUGCAUCUCAGUGCAAGAGCAACACAGGUUAAGCAAAUUAUGAAAUAAAUCUGGAGAAUUAAAUGAUAGUAUUUCUUCCCACUGAAGACCUUCCUUUGCGGACACUGGGAGAGUGCUGGGGCUGACCUCUCUCCCUUGCUCUCACUGUGAGCUCACUGCCAUAGCCCGAGGCUGGAAAAGCUGACAAGGGGCUGCCCUGGAACUGGUGUCAGGAUAUUAAAUGAAACAAGGAAAGAACUUUGUAUGGGAGUGACAUCCACGUGAAUCUGACCAGGGGCACCACCUCACUGCCCACCCACAUUAGGUCUGUGCUUUGCCUGCCUGAGGACCAGAACCCCGUGUUAGUCACUGCUAAUGAUGCACCUAGUGCAGGGCUGGCUGAGGGCUGCUGCCAUCCUGCUGCCUUUGUGCUUCCUCAUCAGGCAGCCCCGAGGUGAUUUAACACAAUGGGAUGGGAUGAGUGCUCAUCACUAGGAAGCCUGCAAAUGUUUGUAGUUAUAAUUAGGAAAUGUUCUAACACUCCUAUUAACCUGAUUGAUGUGAAGUCUUGCUUAGGCAGAAAACUGAUUUUUCCCCAAGUGACUCCAAUAGAAGAUCCAUUUAGUUUGAAAUGGAACUUAAAAGGAGUGCAAAUUACUGAUGAUCCCUGUAACCAAUGAACAAAUGAUUGGCGCAUCUUCAAGGGUUUGUCAUGAGGGAAGACACCCCAAAAUGAAGAUGUAUGCUAUGAGAGAGUGACACUUUUUUAUCCUGUAGGUAGGACCACAGCAGAGUCUGCAUGGACAUGUGCUCCAUCCCACACCAGGCUGUGCCACUGGUCCAAAGCAAAGCUUGCUGACACUGCCCCAUCCAUACUCACUGUCAAAUUUAGAACAUGUCUGUCCUAAAAGGACAAGAUCAUUGUAUAAUUGUGAGCAGAAGAACCAAAUAAAAAGCUAGGCUGGCUUUACCAGUGCACUGACAAAGGUGUGUCAUGCAGGACCAGGCUGGUGUUUGUGUGGUGUUGAGCUGCCCUUGCCACUUUGGGUCACUGCUAUUUCUGAUGCCUCUGUACCACCUUCCAUGGUACCAAGGAGAUGUGCCCUUGCUGACCUAGCAGAGGGAUAAAGAAAUCUGCUCUCUUUUUAAUAUCAUUCUAGGAGAAAGUGGCUGCUUUUCAGAAAUAAAAUGGUUUCUAUUCAAGGUUUACCCAGUACAAAUGGAAUAGUGAUGCAGCUGAAGCUGUGCUCUGGGCCUCUGCACAAUGCAGAGUUUCUGACCUGAAGAAGAGCUUGUGUGCCCAAAAGCAUUUUUGUUCUUUAGGUGUAUUCACUGGUUUAAUAAAAGCUCAUAGCUCUCCAUGCAAACCUUGCUGGCUAAGCCAUGAAUUAAACUCCUGUGUUCAAAAGGACUUGGUAUUGACCUUAAAAUCCCUGAAAACCUGUUAAUUGUAGGAAGACUGAAGAAGAUAUAUAGAACCAGGGUGCAUCAUGCUUCACUUGUAAACAGGCAAACAAAGUUCUGUAGUGUAACCAAAGGAUAAAGAUGAGCUCUAAGUAGAGGCAAUAGAGAACCACAGUGACAGUUAUUCGACACCCCUUUGUCCCAUGAUUAUUUAUGUAUUAGUUGAAGCCAUAAUAAUGUUAAAGUCACCCUCACUAAACAUACAACACUUUGUAUUUUGACAGCACUUCAUAAACAUUAAUGAGUUAAGCUGAAGUAAACACUUCUCUAAGAUCAACCUUUCCUGAACAGGACUGCAAAGGCAGAUUAAAGGCA